CUUGUCCUCCUCCGGCAGCGCAGGCUGGAAGGAAGCAGACGAGGCCGCCGUCCCCCUGCGGCGUUUUCCUCCUGCCCUUCCUACUAGGAGUUUGCUUGGGGCGAGUAGGCGGCUCUCCUCUCCCGUUUUCUGCUCACAGCUUGGCUGAGAGCCGGUGGCUGGCCCAGGGAGCUUCUUUACCGGCUGAGGGGGGACUCGAAUUUGGAGUUCUUGGAUGCGAGUUUCAGGGUGUUGCCAACUCCGGUGGAGCACUGGGGGGACCAAAGUACCAUGAGUUUGAUCAUUUUCUGAUCUAAGGAACUUACCCAAACAACUGUCUGCUUCCAUAGCACCAGUAUGAGAAGACAAAUGCCAGAUAUCAUGAACUGCAAGAAGAAGAAGCUACAGAACUCCCUUUUCAUCCCCUGGUGUCCUGUGUGCAGCAGCCCGUACAAGCUGCUCCGGAGGGACUGACUGAAACGGAGCAAAGUGGGCAAAAAGACAAAACACAAGAAGAUGCACAGGGCAAAUUCAGAAGAAAACCAUGAAAUGUUCCCAAGAAUUCCAAAACAGAAUUGAGCUACCAAUAUCAUGAAGCAUCAUCGAUGGUCAGGGACUGUCGUCGUUGUUGUUGAGGCAAGCAGGGUGAAAAAAAAAAGACUACAGAUGAAUAAAAAUUUUAAAGAGAUGUUGGGAAAGCUGAAAA